GGGGAGGGGGGAGGCGGGAUCGGGGGGCCGUGAGCGGUUCGCGCGCUUCGGGCCUAGUCCGGACUCGCCGCCUCCGCCGCCAUAUUCCCGUGGCGUCUUCCUUACUUUGUCCGUGUCCCGGGCUCGCGAUCUGCCUUCCGGAGCCAUGUCCGAAGGAGUGGACCUGAUUGACAUCUACGCCGACGAGGAGUUCAAUCAGGACCCAGAGUUCAACAGUACAGAUCAGCUCGAUCUGUACGACGACGUGCUGGCAGCCGCCUCACAGCCCUCGGAUGACAGAAGCAGCAGCACGGAGCCGCCUCCUCCUGUCCGCCAGGAGCCGCCUCCCAAGCCCAGUAACAAGACCCCUGCGAUUCUGUACACCUACAGCGGCCUGCGCAACAGGCGGGCCGCUGUGUAUGUGGGCAGCUUCUCCUGGUGGACCACAGACCAGCAGCUGAUCCAGGUUAUUCGCUCUAUCGGAGUCUAUGACGUGGUGGAGUUGAAAUUUGCAGAGAAUCGAGCAAAUGGCCAGUCCAAAGGGUAUGCUGAGGUAGUGGUAGCCUCUGAAAACUCUGUCCACAAACUGUUAGAACUCCUGCCGGGAAAAGUUCUUAAUGGAGAAAAAGUCGACGUGAGGCCAGCCACCAGGCAGAACCUGUCACAGUUUGAGGCACAGGCUCGGAAACGUGAGUGCGUCCGAGUCCCAAGAGGGGGAAUACCUCCACGGGCUCACUCCCGAGAUUCGAGUGAUUCUGCGGAUGGACGGGCCACGCCCUCUGAGAACCUUGUGCCCUCAUCUGCCCGUGUGGAUAAGCCCCCCAGUGUGCUGCCCUACUUCAACCGCCCUCCGUCAGCCCUCCCCCUGAUGGGUCUGCCCCCACCUCCAAUUCCACCCCCACCACCUCUCUCCUCAAGCUUCGGGGUCCCUCCUCCUCCUCCUGGCAUCCACUACCAGCAUCUCAUGCCCCCUCCUCCUCGAUUACCUCCUCAUCUGGCUGUACCUCCCCCUGGGGCCAUCCCACCUGCCCUUCACCUCAACCCAGCCUUCUUCCCCCCACCAAAUGCUACAGUGGGGCCUCCACCAGAUACAUACAUGAAGGCCUCGGCCCCCUAUAACCACCACGGCAGCCGGGACUCGGGCCCUCCGCCCUCUACAGUGAGUGAAGCAGAAUUUGAAGAGAUCAUGAAGCGAAACAGAGCAAUUUCCAGCAGUGCCAUUUCCAAAGCAGUAGCUGGAGCCAGUGCAGGGGAUUACAGUGACGCGAUCGAGACGCUGCUCACGGCCAUAGCUGUUAUCAAACAGUCCCGGGUCGCCAAUGACGAGCGUUGCCGUGUCCUCAUCUCCUCCCUUAAGGACUGUCUUCAUGGCAUUGAAGCCAAGUCCUACAGCGUGGGUGCCAGCGGGAGCUCGUCCAGGAAAAGGCAUCGGUCCCGAGAGAGGUCACCUAGCCGGUCCCGGGAGAGCAGCAGGAGGCACCGGGACCUGCUCCACAACGAGGACCGGCAUGACGACUAUUUCCAAGAAAGGAACCGGGAGCACGAGAGGCACCGGGACAGAGAGCGGGACCGGCACCACUGAGAAAGUGGAAACUGGGCUUUCUGUUCAAUUUUGAUCCAGUGCAAAUAUUCAGAAGCCCGAAUGGUGUGACAUUGAGAAAGCAUCGAAGGCUUCAGUUUUCCCCACAGAAAAUGGGACAAAACCUGCCUGCGGAGGUGUUUGGAGAAGCCAGAGGAGAGAGGCCACACCUGAUUCUGGGGCUGAAACUGCUGUUUCGGAGUAGAAGGAUCACACAGCUUGGGGGUGUCUUGUUUUCUGUGUAGCUCCUUCAGCAUACACAAGUGCAUACAUAAAGGGAGUCGGUCGGAAGCAAAUGUUUUUUAAUGGACUUGCAUCUCCUCACCUCGAUCAGGACUAAAGGACGGAGGCCGCUCCACCCCUUCCCUUCCCUCCAAGCCCCUCCCCUCCAGACACCCAGGGAAUGCCCUCUGCCCACAGGAUUGAAGACUGCGGCCCUCCCAGUCCCACACCUCCUGUUUGCUGGGGGAGAGAGCCUAAAGACUGCAUGGUUGGGAGGGGAGGCAGACAUGAAGAGGCAGGUCCAGGCCCUGGUCUCCGUAGAGAAUGGUGCUUUGUUCAAGGAAACGUGAGUUUCUGAUUCUCCAGGAGCAGUUGAGUGGUGAGGUCCAUGGGAAGACUUCCUUCUCAAAGAAAAGGAGUCCUUCCAGUGGGAUCUAGGAGAGCAGUGGGGGCGCCAGGGGGUGCCCAGGUCCUGCCCUCAGCACUAGGUUUGAUGGGGCCAAGAGGGUCCAGACCCCUUGCUAACACCACUUUGUCUGACUCCUUUCCUGCCCAGCCCUUUGAGGAGGGACCAUGAGAACAGAAAUUCAGGAACAGCUUCUCUUACUCUUGCUUUUCCUUCUUAUGAUUGACGGUUUGUUUCCCUGGCCUCCCAGAGGUGGACGCCUUCCUGCUCCUGCUGCUCAGCUUCUCCGAGGACUUGCCCUCGGGUGUGGAGCAGGCCCAGGGGGCGCUGCCUGCUGGGGGCCUCCUGUGGAGCAGGCCCAGGAAGCGCUGUCCGCCGGGAGCCCUGCGGAGCCAGUGCCCGCCCUCUGCCUCCCGCUCUGCUUAGGGCUUGGUUGCCUCUUGCAGUAACCAGCUCUACCAGGUGUUCUGUUCCCCGGGCUUCACCAUUUCGCACGGGAGCCCUUCCCCCGAGGGCAGCUUCCUUGUUUUAGAGGAAGGUAUUGCCGCUGGGAGUGGGGGCAGCGGACCUCAGCAGCGCAGAGCCCUGGUGCAGUGCCAGGAUGGGAGGAGGCCCGGCAGGCGGGGCACGGCCUGCUUCCAUCGCCUUGCUUCUGUGUUCAGGUUUGAUGUAAGCACGGGCUUGCACCCCCAGUACCAGUUUCACUUACUAGGGGGGAACCUGACACUAGCAGACAGGGAAAGUCACAAGUGGGGUGUCUUCCCACUGUUUGACUAUUGACCUCCUAUCUCCCCGUGCUCUGCCCGGAGGUACUUCCUGCCUCUGAUGAGCAGGGAAGAAGUGGAGCCCGACUUGGAGCUCCGUGUUCUAAGGACCACCGUGGGGCCAUUUUCCACACCGGCAUGGAAUUGGCGUAUGGAAUUGCUUUUCCCGUAACAUCUACAUGUGAUGUUCUGAUUGCUGAGGAGGCAGCAGCCACAGGGCCCUGCAGUGCCCAGGGGGCGGUGGGUGCUGUUUGCGCAUCUAGAGGGCACGCAGCAUCUAACGAGACGUGGCGUGUGAGGUGAGGCGUGGCGUGUGAGGCGUAGGGUCAGUGGAGACCCUGGUGGCUCAGGGAGAGACUGAGUUGAACUGAACCCUCCUCUCCCCUGCACGCUUCUGACCCAGCCCUCCAGUCCCUGAGGUCGGGGCCCCCGGCUGGAGAGGCACAUUCCCUUGGGACAGGCUACAGGUUGUAGCUGCUUUCCCGUCCCAGGUCCCAUCCCCACCGCUGCCUCAGAACAUGGCGCCCUGCCUGCGGUCCGAGUGCGAGGUACUGGGCGUGUCCUCGAGAGCAGCUCCUGUGUCUACAGCGUAGAGACCCAGUAAGGGGACGGUGAGGAACGUAUAGAGCGCAGGAAAGCCGUUUACCCGGGAGCUUUUUCUCCCCAUUUUUGUUUUGUUUUUAUUCAAUGACACCAUUUUUAGUUUUGUUUCCUGAUAGCAAAAGGAAAAAAACCCAAUCCUCAAAAAGGCCAAGGCCCCGUCCCCCUGUUGUCGGUGAUCUGUUUGUCUUUCUGAUAGGUUGAAAAUUGUGUAAUAAACUUGAUGACGCUGUCAAUCUUUUAUACUGCAUUGUAUUUUUUUCCUUUUGUAACAAAGUAUUUUUAAUAAAUGGGGUGUGAGCUAUUCUGUG